CUAAAAUAAGGGCAAUUGUACAGACCAAGGCGAUGUACGAGUUUACGUGAGUUUACGUUAGCUAAGAUUGAGAGGGGACCACCGGAUUUUAACUGCUAGCUAUUUUUGACAAACUUUGCUAGCUAAUGAAAACAUUGCCAUCUGUCUACAACCUAUGAAUAGCAACAUUUGUUUAGCAUUUGUCUUUUUUGCCCAGCUCUCAGACUUUGUACGUCUGCCUGCCUGCCAGCCUGUCUGUCUAUGAGUUCCAAGAAAUGUGGCUAGAGGAGUUGUGGUGGCCACUGGAGGGCAACUUUACUGGAGCACAUGUAGGAGCUCGGUGUCAUUAAGUUAAUCUGUAACAGCUGAUACAAGUACGCAUCCCAUCCCUACAGUACUAAUUCAUAUUUCAUUAAUGUACAUGGUCGACUUUGACCCAAGAGAACAAUCCAGACUAAGAAUUUGCAAAAGGUAAGAUCAUAAUGAAUACUAUUAUAUGGACAGCGUGGUACGGAUCCUAGAUCAGCACUCCUACUCUGAUGGUGAAUUCUCUCUCUCCCUCAUCCUUCCUAUAAUUUCAGAUUGAACCCCUGGUCUAUGAUUAGUAGAUGUGGGUGAGUGGACAUAGAGAUCUGGGACUAGACUAGAAUAUCUUCUCAACUAUUGGCAAGGAUUUAUUUGACAUCCAAUCACCAUGAGAGAUGCUUUAUCCUGCAUUUAUCACUUCUAUUGCAGGAGAGGUGAGCGUGUAUCAUAUCCCCCUGCUGUUCUUCACCCCUUGGUGCAGUCUGCUGACCAUCGCUGAGGCCAGGAAGAAGUCCGCUAGCCGAAGUAGAAGCCAAGUUCAUCACCAUGCAACGCUCUAUUGACCGAGGUGCCAUGUCAUCUUCCAUCUACUUCAUAGUGGCCUCAGUUGGACUCCACCGCAUAACAUCUUGGUCUAGCCAGAUUAAUCAAGAGCUUCAAUCCGGGCCGGCUUUGGUUUCCAGGUGGAUCACAGUUACAAUCCCCAUUGCUUCCACCCACCUCAAUUAUCUACUAGGGGCUUCACAUUCUUCUUGCGGCGCUGAUAUUACUUUCUAAAUGAAAUGUUAUCAUGGUCGGAUGACUUACAAUCGUACAUGAUUAUAUUCCCUUAAGGCACAGUACCAGAGACUGUUGCCUUAUUAGAAAUGUACAGAAGUUAUUUUUUUUUAAUAAACUAUUUUCUAUAUUAGUUUUGGGCUAAUCCAAUCCUGACCUGACAGCAUGAUAUUUAGUUUUACAACCCUCAAGAGACUCUGAGAAGAGAGUGGUGGGCAUCUGACCAACGCCAUUGCUGUGUGUGGUUAACUCCAGCAGCUCCUCUAGGUGCUCCAGCACACCUCCUCCUGUCUUUUAGAUCUUGCUGAAACGGUCCACUAUCAGCCAGGCUCUCCAUGGAAAAGAAGGGCUGUUGUGGCACCAAAAUGGGUAGCACCUCCUUUGUCCAAAAAGUUUAAUUUAACUCUGAAAAUCUUAGUGCAUUAAACUGACAACUAUGUACAAGAUCAAAGUAGUGCUAAAAAUAACAUAAGGUAGAACAAAAACACAAGAAAUAUACAUUGACAAUAAGAAGAACACAAGAAGCUAAGUAAGCUAUUUACAUGGUCAGUUCC
rnacentral:lncRNA from 13 species